AGAGUUUGAUCCUGGCUCAGGAUGAACGCUAGCGACAGGCUUAACACAUGCAAGUCGAGGGGCAGCGGGGUAGUGCUUGCACUACUGCCGGCGACCGGCGCACGGGUGAGUAACACGUAUGGAACCUGCCCGCAGCAGGGGGAUAAGCGGAAGAAAUUCCGUCUAAUACCGCGUAACAACGUUGGGAGGCAUCUCCCGAUGUUUAAAGAUUUAUCGGCUGCGGAUGGCCAUGCGGCGCAUUAGCUAGUCGGCGGGGUAACGGCCCACCGAGGCGACGAUGCGUAGGGGUUCUGAGAGGAAGGUCCCCCACACUGGUACUGAGACACGGACCAGACUCCUACGGGAGGCAGCAGUGAGGAAUAUUGGUCAAUGGCCGAGAGGCUGAACCAGCCAAGUCGCGUGAGUGAAGAAGUAAUUCGUUAUGUAAAGCUCUAUCAGCAGGGAAGAAAAUGACGGUACCUGAUUAAGAAGCCCCGGCUAACUACGUGCCAGCAGCCGCGGUAAUACGUAGGGGGCAAGCGUUAUCCGGAUUUACUGGGUGUAAAGGGAGCGUAGACGGCAGUGCAAGUCUGGAGUGAAACGUAUGAGCUCAACUCAUGCAUGGCUCUGGAAACUGGAGGACUGGAGAGCAGGAGAGGGCGGUGGAACUCCAUGUGUAGCGGUAAAAUGC
rnacentral:rRNA from 1 species